rnacentral:piRNA from 1 species
UUCCUAAUACUUGCUGUGUACAAGGCCUGAC